rnacentral:rRNA from 1 species
AGAGUUUGAUCCUGGCUCAGGAUGAACGCUGGCGGCGUGCCUAAUACAUGCAAGUCGAGCGGUAACAGACCUUCGGGUGCUGACGAGCGGCGGACGGGUGAGUAACGCGUGGGAAUCUACCCCAGACUGAGGGAUAACUCCGAGAAAUCGGGGCUAAUACCGCAUACGGUCUUCGGAUUAAAGCUUCGGCGGUUUGGGAAGAGCCCGCGUAAGAUUAGCUAGUUGGUAAGGUAAUGGCUUACCAAGGCAACGAUCUUUAACUGGUUUGAGAGGAUGAUCAGUCACACUGGAACUGAGACACGGUCCAGACUCCUACGGGAGGCAGCAGUAAGGAAUUUUCCACAAUGGGCGAAAGCCUGAUGGAGCAACGCCGCGUGCAGGAUGAAGGCCUUAGGGUUGUAAACUGCUUUUGUCUGUGUAGAAUAUGACGGUAACAGACGAAUAAGGAUCGGCUAACUCCGUGCCAGCAGCCGCGGUCAUACGGAGGAUCCAAGCGUUAUCCGGAUUUACUGGGUGUAAAGAGUUGCGUAGGUGGUAAUUUAAGCGAAUAGUGAAAUCGUGUAGCUCAACUAUACGGCUAUUAUUCGAACUGGAUUACUCGAGAACGAGAGAGGUGGCUGGAAUUCCCUGUGUAAGAGUGAAAUCCGUAGAUAUAGGGAGGAACACCGAUGGCGUAGGCAGGCCACUGGCUCGUUUCUGA